rnacentral:rRNA from 1 species
GAGUACGGCCGCAAGGCUGAAACUUAAAGGAAUUGGCGGGGGAGCACUACAACGGGUGGAGCCUGCGGUUUAAUUGGACUCAACGCCGGAAAACUCACCGGGGGCGACAGCAAUAUGUAGGUCAGGUUAAAGGUCUUACCUGAAUCGCUGAGAGGAGGUGCAUGGCCGUCGUCAGUUCGUACUGUGAAGCAUCCUGUUAAGUCGGGCAACGAGCAAGACCCGUGCCCACUGUUACCAGCAUAUCCUUUAUGGAUGAUGGGGACUUUGUGGGGACCGCUGCUGCUAAAGCAGAGGAAGGUGCGGGCUACGGUAGGUCAGUAUGCCCCGAAUCUCCCGGGCUACACGCGGGCUACAAUGGUUGGGACAAUGGGUAUCUACUCCGAAAGGAGUUGGCAAUCUCUUAAACCCAAUCGUAGUUCGAAUUGAGGGCUGUAACUCGCCCUCAUGAAGCUGGAAUCCGUAGUAAUCGCGUUUCAACAUAGCGCGGUGAAUCUGUCCCUGCUCCUUGCACACACCGCCCGUCAAACCAUCCGAGUGAGGUAUGGGUGAGGGCACGAACUUAGUGUCGUGCUCGAACCUAAAUUUCGCAAGGAGGGUUAAGUCGUAACAAGGUAGCCGUAGGGGAAUCUGCGGCUGGAUCACCUCCU